GUUUAUAUAUAUAUUUUAGUAAAGUUUAUAGAAUAGUUUAUAACAAUAGAUAGUUUUUAAUUAUCUUUUUUAUUAUUUAUUAUUUAAUAAUUUGAUCUGCACAUAUUGAACCGUUUUCACCAUUCGAUCUGCUUGAUCUACAUGAUCUGCACUUGUCCUACAUGAUCUGCAUAUUCUGUAUAUGUCCUACAUGAUCUGCAACGCUUGAACUACUUUUACCAUUCCAAACUAUAAUUUCUCUCCAAAACAUUAUAGUGUGGAUUUGACUUGUAUACCCCAACCGAAAUCCAAUUUUUACAGUCAAAACCUGGAUUUAUUCGACCCACAUCCGACCCAUCUCUCCCAAACGGAUAUUUCUCUAGAUCUAUUCGGUUUUUCUCUUUCAAAACUGAAACUUCAAGUUUCGAAACUGUAAACUUUUUGAUUUCUUUUCCAAACGCCUCUCUCUCAAUCUUCUCCGUUUUCUUCUCAACAUUCUCAACAAGAACCCUAAUCUCUCUUCUCAACAUUCCGAGUCUCACCCUAACCCUAACUGUACCCAUAGAGAAUUCUAAUGCCGCCUCUAAAGAAGAAAAUUAGGUUAAAGAGGAGGAGAGGAGUAGGAACGACGGAGGAGCCGACAACAAAGCCAAUCGAUGGGGGAACGAUGGAGGAGCCGACAACGACAGAGGAGCCAUCAUCGACGGAGCAAAAUCCAAAAUUGAGGGAGGAGGAGUUGAAGAACAAUCCCGACCAUCAGUCCGGUUUUAGAGGCAAUGGAAGAAGGGAAGUCUGACAAGAAUGAGGAAGAAGAGAGUGAAGAAAAUCAAGCUUUCAACUCGGUUCUAUAUUCACGAAGUGUUGACUACAUUAGAUAAGUUGCAGCCUGCAAUGAGCAAGUCUGAGAGGGCAUGGUUUGAGAACCAUCUGAGUUUCCAACACAUCUUCCACAUGCCAAGAGACCCAAACCACCGACUUAUGGGUAUGUGGAUGCUCCUUCUUCGCACGGCGCACAUUAAAAGGAAGAAAGAACCGUGGUUCAUCGUCAAUGGCGUUUCAAUCCGAUAUGGUAUAUCGGAACACGCAUUGAUAUCGGGCUUCAAUUGCAAGAACUAUGGAUUUAUACACUUGGGUAUAAAAAUCAGGGAAAACUUGGAUUUCAAGAAGAAGCAUUUCAAGAAUAUUGUUGUGAAACACGAAGACGUGAGAGAGAAGCUCAUAGGAAUGGUACCGUUGGGUGAAAGAUCAAAAGAAAGGUUGAGGAUGAUGGUUUUGUAUUUCUUAAGCAACAUUAUCAUAGCGCCUAUCAAGACCGGGGAUAAGGCACCUCAAGUGGAUGAAUUUUGCCUCAAGGCUGUGAGUGAUCUCACAUUUUGUAGGAAUUUUCAGUGGGGGAGGUAUUCUUUCGAUUACAUGUUAGGAAACAUCUCACACCCAGUGAAUCAUUUUAAUGGUUCAGUCACCAACAACGAAAAGUACAUAUGGCCAGUUCCGGGUUUCUUUCUUUCGAUGGAGGUUAGUUACAACUUAUAUUAAUAGGUGAUUGUUAGCAAUACUGGUAAUACUGUGGAAUACUAUUUGUUAUUAAAAAUUCUUUUCUUAUUCUUUAGCUUCUUGCAUUCGAGGCAAUCCCACAAUUGAGAAAAAAAAUUAUUGAGGAAAUUGCAGGACCAGAUCAGGGAUGUCCUAGGAUGUGCAAGGUGAGGUUCAAGAAGAGAAGGACCAAAAGAAGAAUGGUGAUCCGAAUGAGAAGGAUGGUAAUCAAGAGAAAGAUGGUGAUCAAGAGGAGGAUAGUGUCCCGAAAGAGAAGGAUCAAGAGAAAGAUGGUGUCCCAAAAGAGAAUGACCCGAAACAGAAGGAUGGUGAUCCUUCGAAACCCGUGGAAGCAAAAUUCACAAAGAGGACCAUUCAGAGUACCAAGAUUUGAAUCUUUUUGUUUUGUUU
rnacentral:sRNA from 1 species